GCUGGUUAUUUAGGAAAAGGAUCUAAGUCCAAUUUUAAUCCUUCGCACAAUACAAAAUAUGCCCACAGGCUUAAAAUUCACUCAAAUAAGGUACAGCCUAUUUGAGACAGGAGACAACCUACGACAUAGGGUAAUGCUCAACCAACAUGACCAAGUGGGCCCAAAAGCAGCCAUCUUUAAAAAAGCGUUAAAGCUUUACCACGCCUAAUUGUUAAUUCCAACCCACCCCCAAAGCCCCUCACCUAUACUGAAUGACCCUAUAUUUUUAUAGAAGCCCUCAUGCUAGAACUAGUAACAAGAACACCAAUUCUCCUACAAAUGUAAGUGUAAGCCGGCGUGGACCCCCCACCGGCACUCACCGCCAAUGAAUUAAUAGUAACAACCCACAAGAAAAACCUACUUCAUCCAGCGUUAACCUUACACAAGAACUUUUCUGGAAAGAUUAAAAAAAGAGGAAGGAACUCGGCAAACAUUAACCCCGCCUG
rnacentral:rRNA from 1 species